rnacentral:rRNA from 1 species
GAGUUUGAUCCUGGCUCAGGACGAACGCUGGCGGCGUGCUUAACACAUGCAAGUCGAACGAUGAAGCUGGAGCUUGCUCCGGCGGAUUAGUGGCGAACGGGUGAGUAACACGUGAGCAAUCUGCCCUUCACUCUGGGAUAACUGCGGGAAACUGUAGCUAAUACCGGAUACGAAGCCUUGGGGCAUCCCAGGGCUUGGAAAGAAUUUCGGUGAAGGAUGAGCUCGCGGCCUAUCAGCUAGUUGGUGAGGUAAUGGCUCACCAAGGCGACGACGGGUAGCCGGCCUGAGAGGGUGACCGGCCACACUGGGACUGAGACACGGCCCAGACUCCUACGGGAGGCAGCAGUGGGGAAUAUUGCACAAUGGGCGAAAGCCUGAUGCAGCAACGCCGCGUGAGGGAUGAAGGCCUUCGGGUUGUAAACCUCUUUUAGUAGGGAAGAAGCGCAAGUGACGGUACCUACAGAAAAAGCACCGGCUAACUACGUGCCAGCAGCCGCGGUAAUACGUAGGGUGCAAGCGUUGUCCGGAAUUAUUGGGCGUAAAGAGCUCGUAGGCGGUUUGUCGCGUCUGCUGUGAAAACCUGAAGCUCAACUUCAGGCCUGCAG